rnacentral:rRNA from 1 species
GUCUACAGCCAUGCCCCCAUACCCAAUCUCAAAAGCUAAGCAGGGUGAGGCCUGGUUAGCACUGGGAUUGAGAGACUGCCUGGGAAUACUGGGUGCUGUAGGCU